GACGAACGCUGGCGGCGUGCUUAACACAUGCAAGUCGAACGGAAAGGCCCUGCUUUUGUGGGGUGCUCGAGUGGCGAACGGGUGAGUAACACGUGAGUAACCUGCCCUUGACUUUGGGAUAACUUCAGGAAACUGGGGCUAAUACCGGAUAGGAGCUCCUGCUGCAUGGUGGGGGUUGGAAAGUUUCGGCGGUUGGGGAUGGACUGGCGGCUUAUCAGCUUGUUGGUGGGGUAGUGGCUUACCAAGGAUUUGACGGGUAGCCGGCCUGAGAGGGUGACCGGGCACAUUGGGACUGAGAUACGGCCCAGACGCCUACGGGAGGCAGCAGUGGGGAAGAUUGCACAGUGGGCGGAAGCCUGAUGCAGCAACUCCGCGUGCGGGAUGACGGCCUUCGGGUUGUAAACCGCUUUCGCCUGUGACGAAGCGUGAGUGACGGUAAUGGGUAAAGAAGCACCGGCUAACUACGUG
rnacentral:rRNA from 1 species